rnacentral:rRNA from 1 species
CUGCUCAGGAUGAACGCUGGCGGCGUGCCUAAUACAUGCAAGUCGAGCGAACGGACGAGAAGCUUGCUUCUCUGAUGUUAGCGGCGGACGGGUGAGUAACACGUGGAUAACCUACCUAUAAGACUGGGAUAACUUCGGGAAACCGGAGCUAAUACCGGAUAAUAUUUUGAACCGCAUGGUUCAAAAGUGAAAGACGGUCUUGCUGUCACUUAUAGAUGGAUCCGCGCUGCAUUAGCUAGUUGGUAAGGUAACGGCUUACCAAGGCAACGAUGCAUAGCCGACCUGAGAGGGUGAUCGGCCACACUGGAACUGAGACACGGUCCAGACUCCUACGGGAGGCAGCAGUAGGGAAUCUUCCGCAAUGGGCGAAAGCCUGACGGAGCAACGCCGCGUGAGUGAUGAAGGUCUUCGGAUCGUAAAACUCUGUUAUUAGGGAAGAACAUAUGUGUAAGUAACUGUGCACAUCUUGACGGUACCUAAUCAGAAAGCCACGGCUAACUACGUGCCAGCAGCCGCGGUAAUACGUAGGUGGCAAGCGUUAUCCGGAAUUAUUGGGCGUAAAGCGCGCGUAGGCGGUUUUUUAAGUCUGAUGUGAAAGCCCACGGCUCAACCGUGGAGGGUCAUUGGAAACUGGAAAACUUGAGUGCAGAAGAGGAAAGUGGAAUUCCAUGUGUAGCGGUGAAAUGCGCAGAGAUAUGGAGGAACACCAGUGGCGAAGGCGACUUUCUGGUCUGUAACUGACGCUGAUGUGCGAAAGCGUGGGGAUCAAACAGGAUUAGAUACCCUGGUAGUCCACGCCGUAAACGAUGAGUGCUAAGUGUUAGGGGGUUUCCGCCCCUUAGUGCUGCAGCUAACGCAUUAAGCACUCCGCCUGGGGAGUACGACCGCAAGGUUGAAACUCAAAGGAAUUGACGGGGACCCGCACAAGCGGUGGAGCAUGUGGUUUAAUUCGAAGCAACGCGAAGAACCUUACCAAAUCUUGACAUCCUUUGACAACUCUAGAGAUAGAGCUUUCCCCUUCGGGGGACAAAGUGACAGGUGGUGCAUGGUUGUCGUCAGCUCGUGUCGUGAGAUGUUGGGUUAAGUCCCGCAACGAGCGCAACCCUUAAGCUUAGUUGCCAUCAUUAAGUUGGGCACUCUAAGUUGACUGCCGGUGACAAACCGGAGGAAGGUGGGGAUGACGUCAAAUCAUCAUGCCCCUUAUGAUUUGGGCUACACACGUGCUACAAUGGACAAUACAAAGGGCAGCGAAACCGCGAGGUCAAGCAAAUCCCAUAAAGUUGUUCUCAGUUCGGAUUGUAGUCUGCAACUCGACUACAUGAAGCUGGAAUCGCUAGUAAUCGUAGAUCAGCAUGCUACGGUGAAUACGUUCCCGGGUCUUGUACACACCGCCCGUCACACCACGAGAGUUUGUAACACCCGAAGCCGGUGGAGUAACCUUUUAGAGCUAGCGUCGAGUGGGACAAUGAUGGGUGAGCUNGGA